AUUGAACGCUGGCGGCAGGCCUAACACAUGCAAGUCGAGCGAGCGGCGGACGGGUGUGCAUUGUCUGUGAAACUGUCCGAUGGAGGGGGAUAACUAUUGGAAACGGUAGCUAAUACCGCACAUCACCACAUGUGCCCAGAUGGGAUUAGCUAGUGGGUGGGGUAACGGCUCACCCAGGCGACGAUCCCUAGCUGGUCUGAGAGGAUGACCAGCCACACUGGAACUGAGACACGGUCCAGACUCCUACGGGAGGCAGCAGUGGGGAAGAUUGCACAAUGGGCGCAAGCCUGAUGCAGCCAUGCCGCGUGUGUGAAGAAGGCCUUCGGGUUGUAAAGCACUUUCAGCGGGGAGGCGUUACCCGCAGAAGAAGCACCGGCUAACUCCGUGCCAGCCGCCGCGGUAAUAC
rnacentral:rRNA from 1 species